CGAGCAACUUGGUUAAGCUACUAAGAGCACACGGAGGAUGCCUAGGCGCUAGGAGCCGAAGAAGGACGUGGCGAACAACGAAACUGCCUCGGGGAGCUGUAAGCAAGCAUCGAUCCGGGGGUGUCCGAAUGGGGAAACCCGGCUGGAGUAAUAUCCAGUCACUCGUAUCUGAAUUCAUAGGAUGCGAAGAGGCAUACCAGGGGAACUGAAACAUCUAAGUACCCUGAGGAAGAGAAAACAAAAGUGAUUCCGUCAGUAGCGGCGAGCGAACGCGGAUUAGCCUAAACCGAAGAGCUUGCUCUUCGGGGUUGUGGGACGUCUCACAUGGAGUUACAAAGGUUCAGAUUAGACGAAGAGGUCUGGAAAGGC
rnacentral:rRNA from 1 species